rnacentral:rRNA from 1 species
AUACGGAGGGUGCAAGCGUUGUUCGGAAUUAUUGGGCGUAAAGAGCAUGUAGGCGGACUAUUAAGUCUGGUGUGAAAGCCCGGGGCUCAACCCCGGAAGUGCAUUGGAUACUGGUAGUCUUGAGUAUGGGAGAGGAAAGUGGAAUUCCGAGUGUAGGAGUGAAAUCCGUAGAUAUUCGGAGGAACACCAGUGGCGAAGGCGGCUUUCUGGACCAAUACUGACGCUGAGAUGCGAAAGCGUGGGGAGCGAACAGGAUUAGAAACCCCAGUAGUCC